GUGGGGAAUAUUGCGCAAUGGGCGAAAGCCUGACGCAGCGACGCCGCGUGGGUGAUGAAGGUCUUCGGAUCGUAAAGCCCUGUCGGAGAGGGAAGAACAACCCAGGGGAAUAAUACCUUCUGGGCCUGACGGUACCUUUCCAGAAAGCACCGGCUAACUCCGUGCCAGCAGCCGCGGUAACACGGAGGGUGCGAACGUUGUUCGGAAUCACUGGGCGUAAAGCGCGUGUAGGUGGCGCUGUAUGUCAGAUGUGAAAUCCCUCGGCUCAACCGAGGAAGUGCAUUUGAAACUGCAGUGCUAGAGUACGGGAGAGGGUUGUAGAAUUCCCGGUGUAGAGGUGAAAUUCGUAGAUAUCGGGAGGAAUACCUGUGGCGAAGGCGGCAACCUGGACCGAUACUGACGCUAAGACGCGAAAGCGUGGGGAGCAAACAGGAUUAGAUACCCCAGUAGUCC
rnacentral:rRNA from 1 species